rnacentral:rRNA from 1 species
UACGUAGGGGGCAAGCGUUGUCCGGAUUUAUUGGGCGUAAAGAGCGUGUAGGCGGCCAGGUAGGUCAGCUGUGAAAACUCGAGGCUUAACCUCGAGACGCCGGCUGAAACCCUCUGGCUAGAGUCCGGAAGAGGAGAGCGGAAUUCCUGGUGUAGCGGUGAAAUGCGCAGAUAUCAGGAGGAACACCGGUGGCGAAGGCGGAUCUCUGGGCCGUAACUGACGCUGAGGAGCGAAAGCAUGGGGAGCGAACAGG